CCUCUCUGCCUUUCUUCCCUCUCGCAGCAGCAGCAGACAGGAAACCCUCGCCUUGUCCUCCAUCUAUGAAUCCUCAAACACUAACGCCUAAGGCUGGUGACAAGGGACAGGUGAAGAAGAGGAAGGCUUUGAAUAGGCUUCCUUGGCGGGGAAGAAACGACUUUACUAAGCUAAGAAGACCAAGGACCUUGAACGAUGGUGGGUCCCACAGCCAUUCCACACAGUGGGGUGCUACCUGACACAGUUCCAAAGGAGACACUAGGGAGAGCACAGCAUUAGGGGCUCCCCCAUCAAAGCCCCCGCAAGCUUUGAUUCAGAAGCUGAGAAGCCAAUUCGGGAGGCCAUGUGGAUAUGAAGAGGUCUCGGAAGAGCUGAGAGAACUGGAAGGUAGGUGAGAGUGGGGACAGCCUUUUGUCAAAGGAUCCAACGCCGUUAAAAGUGUCAGGACAGUGUAGUAUUGGCUUAAAAAUAGACAAGCAGAUCAAUGGAAUAGAUCCAGAAAUAAACCCUCACAGAUAGGGACAGAUCGCUCUUCACAAAAGAGCAAACUGUGGUGCCCCGUGGGCCUCCUCCCAGUUAACUAGCAGGAUGCUGAGGUAACCCGAUGCUUCAAUGAGAAAGACUGAACCCACCCACUCCUUACGUGUGUGGGAGGGGGGAACGCCUCACCCACUCCUCACGUGGGGGGGAACGCUCCACCCACUUCUCACUUGGGGGGCGGGGGAGAAAGGCCCCACCCACUCCUCACACAGGUAAGAAAGAAAUCCACGGACAACAAAUAAAGUCAACGCGUGAGAUGGCUCACUUGCACCUGCUGCCAAGGCUGACUGGCCUGAGUCUGAUCCCCAGGACUCAAGUGGUUGUCCUCUGAAUUCCAG
rnacentral:lncRNA from 1 species